rnacentral:misc_RNA from 1 species
GAUGAAGAACGUAGCGAAAUGCGAUAAGUAGUGUGAAUUGCAGAAUUCAGUGAAUCAUCGAAUCUUUGAACGCACAUUGCGCCCUUUGGUAUUCCUUAGGGCAUGCCUGUUCGAGCGUCAUUUAAACCUUCAAGCUAAGCUUGGUGUUGGGUGACUGUCCGCUUCACGGCGGACUCGCCUCAAAAUUAUUGGCGGCCGGUACAUUGGCUUCGAGCGCAGCAGAAACGCGAACUCGGGCCCGUCGUAUUGGCUCCCAGAAGCUAUCUUCACAAUUUUGACCUCGGAUCAGGUAGGGAUACCCGCUGAACUUAAGCAUACCAAUAAGCGGAGGA